UGUACCUCUCUCUUUCAGGUAUACAUCUGGAUCAACCGGAGUACCUCCUGGUUGGAGCUAUUAUACCCAGGAGGAGGGGCUAGGAGGUUGGAUCUCUGUUUAAUGAGUGUCCACCGGGUUACUUCUUGUCCUGUGCUUUGAAGAACAAAGUCGAUCCCCCGUCCUCUGUGACAGCCACUCGGUUACCGGAAGACUGCUAUCAUAUUUGUGGGAAGGGUCGGCUCGAGUCUCCAUCCGGGAGAAACGGGAGUGCCACCAAAGGAAGAAAGAAGCCGGCUGCCUGAAAAGAAAGGCCAGAAGCGGCUACAGCAAUCAGUUCUGGGACAGCUGACCAGUCGGUUUGGAUCUGACAUCAAAGUGGAAACAGUUUAAAGUUCUGGGAAGAGAAGCAGGGAUAAGAUGAUCCUCAAAUAUCUGACACAAAAAAUGAAAGCCAUCAUCUCUCCUUUCUUGUUCCAAAGAACAGCACGUGGAGUAACCGAUUUAAGUUAGUGGAAUUGGAAGUCCUGGGUAUGGAAGCCCUUCCCAACAGUUUCAGAUAUUUGAAUCUGGAUCUCUGCAUGGCACAGUGGAGGAAACCUGAUGACCAAAAUAAUUCUAUAUUUUAGACGUUUCAAGACUUUCCAUUUUGUUUCUGCAAAAGAGCGAUAACGGCUGAAGUUGCUAAUGGAAGAACUGUCUGUGCUUAGUCCAGACAAAUCUGUUGCACGCUCAUUGAGCAGAUAUCUCUGACUCUCAAGGCUGGGAAAAGAACGUGGACGUGGAAAAAGUGGCGGAAGUAACACAGAAUUUAAACCUGAGAGUAGGCAUGUGAUCAUAAGCUUGAUUUCUGGGUUCUGCGGUUGGCAGAUUUUCUGCAUAUAAAAGAUCUGCUGACUUUAAAUAAAAUAAAACAAGAAAGAAGAGGGCUUGGGAGCUUUCAAAAGGAAUGCUGGAACCAAUUAUGGGCUUCAGUGAAUCCUAGGACUGUGGAGCUGGAAGGCACCAGAGGGAUCAUGUAUAGUGUGCGGAUUUGUAGCAUUGUCAAGAUGUAGCGGCCCAAUACCUCCAGGGAUGGAGAAUGCACAACUUCCAAGGGAGGCCUUUCUACUGGUGAUCAGACUUUUCCAUCAGGAAGUUUUCCCUAUACAGCAUUUGAAUGAAAUCUUAUACCUGUUACUUCUGGUGCUGGUAUCUGUGGGCCUGGAAAAUAAUUCUUACCAUUUUCGUGGUAGCUUUCCUGGAAGUGCCUGAACCCUGGUAUCCGGGCUCCCCUCUAUCCUCUUUUCUCUAGAUUGAGCACUAUCCUGAAAGGGCAGGUCCUGUUUCACCUUCCUCGCCUUUUCUAAACCCAUUCAAGGCUGCCAGAAUCCUUCUGGAAAUGUGCUGCCCAAAUCAUGCAGGGUCUCCCCAGUGCAGAGGGGAGGGGAAAGGAAGGAGGACUUGGGGCAUUUUUUGCUAGUGAUUCUUCUAACACAGCCCAAAACUGCAUCCGCCCUUCUAGCGCUGUCUCCUGCUACCGAGCCACGUUCAGCUGGUUGUCGGAGUCCACACCUAAGUCUUUCUCUGCGGUUGUGCUUUCAGGCCACAAAUCCCCCGUAUUGUUUGCGUGUCCCAAAAUGUAAUUCCUUACAUGUGUUGAAGCAAGUCUUGAUCUUCUCAAUCUGUAGUCUAAAUUAGACUACAAUCUCAUUCUGUCAUCAUCGGUGCUGGCCGGAUCUCCUAAUUUUGUGUUGCCUGCAAAUUUGGCGAGCAGCCUCUUAUUUGGGUCAUUAGUAACAUGUUGCAUCCCACGGCCUGAAGAUGGAUUCCUUUUGGUCAGUGCUCUUAACACUAUGCAGCGGCAGCUGUUUAAUGCUGCUCCCUUUAGCCAGCCAGUUGUGGAUUUCUCAACGCAAGUCCUGGCAGGCUUGCGUUGGACUCAUCGGCACGAGCUUCUUGCUCUGGUGUGAAGAUGCCUCGCAACCCGUCAGACGCUUGUGGUUACCUUAACAUCCCACAGCCAGUCAAGCCUGCUACAAACCAAUUGCUUCGUCCUUUCAGUACGUCUCAAUCACUCAAACAAUUAAAGUUGUGGAAGGGGAACUUUUUUUUAUUACUUUCAUUACUUUUUUCCCUUUUCUUUUCCCAGGCGGUCAUGAGCACCAAUACAAGCAGGCACCUUCCUAACAGUGUGCUCUCGUUAGGUACUGGAGAAUGACCACCAAGGGGUCGCAGAGAUAGUGAGCCCUGUCAACAAUCACAAGACAGUCCUUAUGUACAGAAAAGGCCCAUUCCCUGUCAAACAGCAACAAUAAAAGACACACCGCCAGCCCAGCACACAAGGUAGCUGACCCUUCUCUACGGGGAAGGUGGUGUCCACAAGUAACAGGAACAGAACUAACACACACACAGAACAAAAAUAGAAAGCAUUGAAGCAGAAAGUGGGGGGAGGGCACUGAAUAAUUGAAGGCAUAUGCAGUUGGUGUAACUAAUAGCAAUAGUUACACCAACAUGUGCAGUCAGAACAUAGAUAUCUACUGGAAAUCUACUACCACUACAUCCCAUCCAGUGUUGCAUCCAUCACACACAGGAUGACAAUCACACAACAAUGAGAUCAAUAACAAUAAUACAACUGUAAUCACAAAAACCAGCACAUCCAACUGGUCAAAAAUAACAGCAUAAAAACAGCUUCCUCAAACACCAGCAUAACCAGCUGGUUGAAAACUCACUACUACUUCUUCUUUUCUUCUUCUUACAAAACUUCUUUUCCUGUAGGGCGUUGUGAAAGCAAGCACUAUUGCCAAAAUGAGACCACAUAAUACACAAGGACACAACCCUGUGACUGAGGGCGCAACCCUCACCCAAUACAAGGAAGUGAUCAGCUCCCAGGGGAGGCUAUUCCGCCGAGUCCCAGCCACGGGACCAGCCCUGCCUGUUUUGCCAGCAAAAUAUGUCAGGAAAGACCCAGGCCUGUCCACAAAGCAAGUCCGGUUGUGACCCUUCCCUUCUGGCCAAAUUUGGGGACAGGUCCCACCCUCUCUAUCUAACUCACACACCCUCUCUCCCUAACUGUAGUCCACCGAAGGACCAAAUGGCUCACCUCUGAUCCAAAGUAGACAGUUCGUAUAAGAGUGGGCUGGUGACCUGAAGCUCCAACGCAAGGAACGGUCAGGGAUCCUAGCUGGACAGCAGGUCUCUUCCAGUGACCAUCGUAUCUGAGUCACGGCACCAUUUCUGUCAUAAAAAGAUUCCAAUAAAAGAAACAGGAGACAGCAAUACAAUAAACAAUUCUUACUUUACGAUUCAGAGGUUUAUUUCACGAGCAAUUUGGAACAGGAACAGCCACCAUAACAUUACUUACAUCAAUAACCCAUUGCAAUGAGGUCCAGAGACGAUAGCUGAGUCCAGCAAGGAGUAGCUAUGGCCAGUGGCCCUGAACUCAUCCCUUCUUUUUAUACUUUUCUGCACGCAUUUCACAACUUACUUCCUUGUUACUUCUUUACUGACAGACAGUCUCCACAUAUACCUGUGUACAUCUCAAACCUCUGUCCAUCGGCUACUUUCAGUUCCCUAUUUCUCUGUUUCAACGUUCUGAUUCCAAAUACUGUAUAUCUCAAAACUAUGUACUUUGCAAAAUCACAUUUCACAGCAACAGCUCAACAGGUUUACAAAUAGUUCUGAUACACUUUGAAAUCUUUCUAACUAAAACUUUGGUUCAUGUCUCUUUAUUCUGGGGCCUGCUUUUUCCACUUAGGCCUUAUUGAUUCUAAUAGAUCAAUAGGCGUUUCCCACACCCUGGUCCUCAGCCAUUUUCUGACUCUGCUGGCACAAGGACUGCCAGGUGGGCUGUCUGCCGGACUUCAGCACCCACCGGCGAGCAUUUGCUGUCAUGGGACUCGAGCUGGGUGAACAAGCCGUCCCUGCAGCCUGCUUUGGGAGGUGGUGUGUGGGCACCUUUUCUGCUGGAUUCACCUCUGCUUCAGAAGACGUCCCUGGGCAGCCAGGCACUCCCUCACUGCCCCUUUUGACCAGCCCAAGGAGGGAGCGAGGCCGGGGGGUGGGCUGCUUGCAUGCAGAAAGCCCCACAUAAAUGCAGGGAGGCUAUUUUGUGUACACCAACCCCAUUUCACAUAGGUCAUUUUAUUUACAUUUAAAAGGUUCUUUUGAGAGCCUAUUUUAGACCACCACUCUGGGCAGUUCACCAAAAUAAAACAACAAAAACCACCUGUAAACACAAAGAUGAAAAUCUCGUAUUGGGCUGAUUCUGGGUGUGCUGUGGUCCCUUGCUGAAGGUCCUGAUUGGGAAGCUGAGUGCAGCUGACAAGGGUCCUCCUCUCAGCCCACGGGACAGGGAGAAAGGGGAGCUGAGCCUUCUGGUUUCCUCCCUCAGCACAGGCAGCUGUUUUGAUGGGGUUGUGGGGGGGAGGUGGAUGCAGGGAGGGCAUUUUCCUCAUGGGGCAUUGUGGGCCCUGGGCGAACACAGCCCUUCGCAGCCCACCCCCACAAAUUCCCUUGUCUCUGCUUUGGGAUCCCCGGCCCUCUCUGUGGGUUUCUCUCUCUCUCUCUCUCUCUCUCUCAGCGAUCCUUUUGAAAUGGGUUUUGCUUGCUACACUUGAAUCACAUUAAACACACACACAGCUCUGGGAGGAAGAGAAUUCUAGUAGUAGAAAUAGUCAUAAUAUUCUUGGUCAAAGUCUGAAUUGGCCAGCCAAAUGCUGAAUCUCAACUCAACUAUUGCAUUCCUCACCCUUAAGCAUGCAAAACUUUCUAGCUACCAGUCAUUCAUCAGCAACAGGAAAGGGAAGUUAAGCCUGACUCAACUGCGGGCCUGGUUUGAGUUCCUUGAUAAGGCUAUCAGGUAGGCUUCCAGGAACUUUUCAUCCAGGAUGUGAGGCUCAAGUAUGACAGGGUCAAAAGGGAAACCGCUAAAAGCAAAAUGAAGCCGGAUCUGCCAGUACUACAAUAUUAAAAACAGCAGUGAUGGGGGGUUUGCCUGCUGCUGCUUUAGAAAGCUUGAGAAGUGUUUGGAUCCCAAAAUAAAUGAUUUUCAUGCAUGCUUAUAAAAUGCUUCCCCUGGUGAUUCUGUCUUUCCUCUUCAGUGCAAGCCGCCCAAUUCUGUGUGGUUUGGUGCCCUCCCCCCUCCCGUUGUGGCUACUGUGAUUCCCAGCAGCUAUGAAAAGCAGGAUUUCUGCUGCUCUGGCAGUGCCCGUGUCAGGCAGGUUGCAAGACACAAUCUUCUGAUAUGGGGGGGGGGGGCUGUCAGGCCUGGAAGCCAUCUUUUCUGUUGGAUCUUCAGGCCUGCCACAUUUGCUACUUCCGUGGGAAACUGGUGGAAGGGGGGAUUGUAUGGAGCAAGGCUGAUAUCUAGUCAUAAUAACAUUCCUUUCUCAGAAAGUCAAGGACAUCUUGCCCUGCACCUGGAGGGGUGGACCUGGGAGGCAUCUUCAGUUGGGACGGUGCUUUGGUUGGGCCUUGUGAUGGACAUGUGGGUGUUGGG